GCAGUCGUGGCCGAGUGGUUAAGGCGAUGGGCUAGAAAUCCACUGGGGUCUCCCCGCACAGGUUCGAAUCCUGUCGAUUGUG
rnacentral:tRNA from 2 species